GGAAGAAUACUUCGUAAAGAAAGUACAAUACCGGGUUCUGGAGUGACUGAAAAAUAAAAUUAGGGAGCCAACCCUAGAUGUGGAUGAUGCAAACGAAAACAGUAGUACACUUUGUAAACCCUACACUCUUAUUUGUUCAAUCACAUUAAUCUCGUAUCCAAAUUUGUAUGCCGCAACCUUUUUCUUGAUUUUCAUCAAAGGAAAUCUCAUCAUGAUCUGGGAG
rnacentral:lncRNA from 1 species